UACGAAGGGGGCUAGCGUUGUUCGGAAUUACUGGGCGUAAAGGGCGCGUAGGCGGUGUGUCAAGUCAGGCGUGAAAGCCCCGGGCUCAACCUGGGAACCGCGCUUGAGACUGGCACGCUCGAGUUCGGGAGAGGAUGGUGGAAUUCCCAGUGUAGAGGUGAAAUUCGUAGAUAUUGGGAAGAACACCAAUGGCGAAGGCAGCACUCUGGGACGUGACUGACGCUGAGACGCGAAAGCGUGGGGAGCAAACAGG
rnacentral:rRNA from 1 species